rnacentral:rRNA from 1 species
AGAGUUUGAUCCUGGCUCAGGACGAACGCUGGCGGCGUGCUUAACACAUGCAAGUCGAACGGAAAGGCCCGCUUGCGGGUACUCGAGUGGCGAACGGGUGAGUAACACGUGGGCAACCUGCCCUCAGCUCUGGGAUAACUCCGGGAAACCGGUGCUAAUACUGGAUAUCAACUUCUGCUCGCAUGGGUGGUUGUUGAAAGUUUUUCGGCUGGGGAUGGGCCCGCGGCCUAUCAGCUUGUUGGUGGGGUGAUGGCCUACCAAGGCGACGACGGGUAGCCGGCCUGAGAGGGCGACCGGCCACACUGGGACUGAGACACGGCCCAGACUCCUACGGGAGGCAGCAGUGGGGAAUAUUGCGCAAUGGGCGGAAGCCUGACGCAGCGACGCCGCGUGAGGGAUGACGGCCUUCGGGUUGUAAACCUCUUUCAGCUCUGACGAAGCGUGAGUGACGGUAGGAGCAGAAGAAGCACCGGCCAACUACGUGCCAGCAGCCGCGGUAAUACGUAGGGUGCAAGCGUUGUCCGGAAUUAUUGGGCGUAAAGAGCUCGUAGGCGGUUUGUCGCGUCGAAUGUGAAAACCCGGGGCUCAACCCCGGGCCUGCAUUCGAUACGGGCAGACUAGAGUUCGGUAGGGGAGUCUGGAAUUCCUGGUGUAGCGGUGAAAUGCGCAGAUAUCAGGAGGAACACCGGUGGCGAAGGCGGGACUCUGGGCCGAUACUGACGCUGAGGAGCGAAAGCGUGGGGGGCAAACAGGAUUAGAUACCCUGGUAGUCCACGCCGUAAACGUUGGGCGCUAGGUGUGGGGUUCCUUCCACGAACUCCGUGCCGCAGCUAACGCAUUAAGCGCCCCGCCUGGGGAGUACGGCCGCAAGGCUAAAACUCAAAGGAAUUGACGG